UAUGUGAUCGUCUCUCGCAUAUCAAUAAGCGGAGGAAAAGAAACUAACAAGGAUUCCCCUAGUAACGGCGAGUGAAGCGGGAAGAGCUCAAAUUUGAAAUCUUAAAGGGUUUCCCUUUACGAAUUGUAGUUUAAAGAAGUGUUUUCUGUUGAGGUUUUGGUAAAAGUUCUUUGGAAUAGGACAUCAUAGAGGGUGAGAAUCCCGUAUUUGACCUUUACUUUCAACUUUGUGAUACACUUUCAAAGAGUCGGAUUGUUUGGGAAUGCAGUCCAAAAUGGGUGGUAAAUUUCAUCUAAAGCUAAAUAUUGGCGAGAGACCGAUAGCGAACAAGUACCGUGAGGGAAAGAUGAAAAGAACUUUGAAAAGAGAGUUAAACAGUACGUGAAAUUGUCAAAAGGGAAACGUUUGACACCAGUGUUGUUUUUCUGAAAAUCAAUUAAAGAACUGUUUAUGCUAAGUUGUUUAGACUUUAUCAGCUAACUGCUUAGUUUUGAGCUUUUCUUUAAUAGCACUUUUCAGUUAACAAGUCAACAUCAAUUUCUUUUGCUGUAAAAAAGCUUGAGGAAGGUGGCUUGAGAUUCGUCUUAAGUGUUUAUAGCCUCUUGCCUAUGCAGUCGGAGAGAUUGAGGUCUGCAGCGUAGAUCCUUCGGGGCUAAAUGCAUUUGUGCUAAGUUAUAGCAUUUUAUAGACAACUUGUUGACUAUGAUUUGUCUUGUAGCUUACUCGCUUAUGUUAUUUUACCUACGCUUAGGAUGUUGAGUCAUCACACAUCUC
rnacentral:rRNA from 1 species